rnacentral:sRNA from 1 species
GUCCGGUAGGUAAGGCUACCGCAGGGAUACGGGCUGCUGCCGCAAAAUGGUGGAGACACCAUGCGUUGGUUGGAACAGUUCAUGUCGAAGCACAAGGCAUGAUCUAAUGCAGUUACAUUGCCCUGCGAAGCUGAAGCUCAGACGGUG